CGUCAAAUCCCCGGAUUACCCACCAGCCUUCUGUCCCCGACCUCGAGCUCGGUUUCCUCAUCUCUGAACCUGGGUUACUUAUGUCUGAGCAGGAUGUGAACGGAUGGCCCACUUGAUCCCCUAUGUGUCUGAGCAGGAACACAACCACACGGAGGAUUAGAGAGAGAGAGGAUCGGCCAUCACAUCCAGAUGAUGCAAAUCUGCUCCCUGCUUCACAUGUGAAUAGUGAGCCCAAAUCCUCAUUCCAAAGAGUGAAA
rnacentral:lncRNA from 1 species